rnacentral:tRNA from 1 species
GCCUGGCUGGCUCAGUUGGUAGAACAUCUGACUCUUGAUCUCAAGGUCAUGAGUUCAAGACUCACGCUGGGUC